rnacentral:rRNA from 1 species
AUGAAAAGCAAUGAUUCUCCGUGCUGGAAGGCCAUUAUGAAGGUGAAACAUCUAUAUAUGGCAGGGAGAAGAGUGGUUAUACAAUCUGGUGAUGUUGCUAGGCUGUGGAUUGACCCCAUUGGGAACAACACCCCUCUGGCGGAACAAUUUCCUCGUUUAUUCUCCAUCUGCAACUUUCCUGAGUGCACGGUGGCCCAGUGCCUAAAUGCGGACCCCUCCUCUUUCUUUAGAAGGAGAUUGAACAGCGAGCUCAGUGCUCAAUGGGUGAAUGUGAGUAAAAUGGCUAGAGAGGCUUGUGUCUCAGAGGCCUCCGAUGUGAUUAGAUGGGGCAUGGGAGGGAAAUCCUCUUUUACUACUAAAUCAGUUUACUCUUUCCUGGAAAGGAACAUUGCUGGAUGCGAUUAUAGAUGGAUCUGGAAUGCCAGAAUACCUCUUAAGAUCCAAAUUUUUUUGUGGCAGCUGUUUCAAGACGCUGUCCUAACGAGAGAUGUGAUGAAGCAUCGAGGGUGGAAGGGAAAUCCUAAAUGUUCUUUGUGUGGUGGGCGAGAGACUGCUCAACACUUAUUCUUUACAUGCCCUGUUGCCAGGGUGACCUGGAGGACGGUGUCAUGCAUGUUUGGUACUGCCCUGUGUCCCGAUAACAUUUGGCAAGCUUACGCAUGGUGCUAUACGUUCUUCCCUGGUGGGGAAAAUUUUUAUACAUCAGGGAUUGCUGUUGUAUGCUGGGCGAUAUGGUCUUGUCGUAAUAUAGCUACCUUUGAAUUCAAACCACUUACAAACCCGUUUGAAUGUAUUUUUUCUGCUUGUGCCUUAAUGUGCUACUGGGCAGGACUGCUGAGGCAAGAUGAAGCGGCUGCCAUGAGGGGCGGGGCAGAGAUGCUGAAGGAGAACGCGUCGAUGAUGAUGAGAAUCUGCGCGGCAAACCAAGAUGAGGCGGCAUGCUGA